rnacentral:rRNA from 1 species
UACGUAGGGUGCAAGCGUUGUCCGGAAUUAUUGGGCGUAAAGAGCUCGUAGGCGGUUUGUCGCGUCUGCUGUGAAAACGCGAGGCUCAACCUCGCGCCUGCAGUGGGUACGGGCAGACUAGAGUGCGGUAGGGGAGAUUGGAAUUCCUGGUGUAGCGGUGGAAUGCGCAGAUAUCAGGAGGAACACCGGUGGCGAAGGCGGUGGUCUGGGCCGGCACUGACGCUGAGGAGCGAAAGCGUGGGUAGCAAACAGG